GGCUCCGUGAUGUCACUGUGAGAGCUACUAUGUGAAGAAAAAGGAUGCCCCUCCUCCUCUGCUCCUGCUCACAAGGACCCUGCCCUGGUGAAACUCCCCACUUCCUGACCUGCCAUGGGCACCAGGCUCCUCUGCUGGGUGGCCGUCUGUCUCCUGGGAGCAGACCACACCCAUGCUGGAGUCUCCCAGUCCCCCACACACAGGGUCACAAAGACAGGACAGAAUGUAACUUUCAGAUGCGAUCCAAUUCCUGAACACAAUGUUCUUUACUGGUACCGGCAGACCCUAGGGCAAGGCCUGGAGUUUCUGAUGUAUUUCCAGAAUAAAAUUGCAGCAGACAAGUCAGGGAUGCCCAGUGAGCGGUUCUCUGCUGAGAGGCCACAGGGAUCCUUCUCCACUCUGGAGAUCCAGCUCACAGUGCAGGGGGACUCGGCUGUGUACCUCUGUGCCAGCAGCUUAGACACAGUGUGGCACAGGCUCCUCCUUCCUGCUCACAAACCCCCUGUGCUCAGCCCUCCUCAUGUUCUCAAAGCUCUGCAGGAGGGAGUGUCUCUUCCCUCAUGGAAGGGAAAGAAGCAUUUGGAUUUUCAGGGGUUCUUCCAACAGGAGGAGGUCAGGAAGUGA